GUAGGUGAACCUGCGGAAGGAUCAUUAUUGAAUAAAUCUGAUGUGGUUGUAGCUGGCUCUCCGGAGUAUGUGCACACCCGUCACCUUUAUCUCUCUCCCUGUGCACACACUGUAGGCUUGGAUACCUCUCGCCGUUAGGCGGAUGCAGAGAUUGCUGGUCCAUCACUGGUCAGCUCUCUUUGAACUUCCAAGUCUAUGAUUUUACAUACCCCAAACGAAUGUUACAGAAUGUAUUUGUAUGGCCUUGUGCCUAUAAAUCAAUACAACUUUCAGCAACGGAUCUCUUGGCUCUC
rnacentral:misc_RNA from 1 species